AACGAACGCUGGCGGCAGGCUUAACACAUGCAAGUCGAACGCCCCGCAAGGGGAGUGGCAGACGGGUGAGUAACGCGUGGGAAUCUACCCAGAUCUUCGGAACAACUGAGGGAAACUUCAGCUAAUACCGGAUACGCCCUACGGGGGAAAGAUUUAUCGGUUCUGGAUGAGCCCGCGUUGGAUUAGCUAGUUGGUGGGGUAAUGGCCUACCAAGGCGACGAUCCAUAGCUGGUCUGAGAGGAUGAUCAGCCACACUGGGACUGAGACACGGCCCAGACUCCUACGGGAGGCAGCAGUGGGGAAUAUUGGACAAUGGGCGAAAGCCUGAUCCAGCCAUGUCGCGUGAGUGAUGAAGGCCUUAGGGUUGUAAAGCUCUUUCAGUGGGGAAGAUAAUGACGGUACCCACAGAAGAAGCCCCGGCUAACUUCGUGCCAGCCGCCGCAGUAA
rnacentral:rRNA from 1 species